rnacentral:tRNA from 1 species
GUCAGGAUGGUCGAGUGGUCUACGCGCGCGCUGUGUUAAGGUUUCAGUCUCUUCUGGAGGUGUGGGUUCAAAUCCCACUUCUGACA